rnacentral:rRNA from 1 species
UACAGAGGGGGCAAGCGUUGUUCGGAAUUACUGGGCGUAAAGGGCGCGUAGGCGGCCUUCUAAGUCGAACGUGAAAUCCCCGGGCUCAACCCGGGAACUGCGUCCGAUACUGGCGGGCUUGAAUCCGGGAGAGGGAUGCGGAAUUCCAGGUGUAGCGGUGAAAUGCGUAGAUAUCUGGAGGAACACCGGUGGCGGAAGGCGGCAUCCUGGACCGGCAUUGACGCCGUGAGGCGCGAAAGCUAGGGAGCAAACGGG